CGAGUCGCAAACUCGCGAGAGUAAGCUAAUCUCUUAAAGCCGUUCUCAGUUCGGACUGUAGGCUGCAACUCGCCUACACGAAGUCGGAAUCGCUAGUAAUCGCGGAUCAGCAUGCCGCGGUGAAUACGUUCCCGGGCCUUGUACACACCGCCCGUCACACCAUGGGAGUUUGUAACGCCCAAAGUCGGUGACCUAACCUUUAUGGAGGGAGCCGCCUAAGGCGGGACAGAUGACUGGGGUGAAGUCGUAACAAGGUAGC
rnacentral:rRNA from 1 species